rnacentral:rRNA from 1 species
UGCCAGCAGCCGCGGUAAUACGAAGGGGGCGAGCGUUAUUCGGAAUUACUGGGCGUAAAGCGCACGUAGGCGGAUUAGAAAGUUAGAGGUGAAAUCCCGGGGCUCAACCUAGGAAUUGCUUUUAAAACUUCUGUUCUGGAAUUAAGGAGAGGAAAAUGGAAUAUCCAGUGUAGAGGUGAAAUUCGUAGAUAUUGGAUGGAACACCAGUGGCGAAGGCGAUUUUCUGGACUUAUAUUGACGCUGAGAUGCGAAGGCAUGGGUAGCAAACGGGAUUAGAUA